rnacentral:rRNA from 1 species
GACGAACGCUGGCGGCGUGCCUAAUACAUGCAAGUCGAACGCUUUUUCUUUCACCGGAGCUUGCUCCACCGAAAGAAAAAGAGUGGCGAACGGGUGAGUAACACGUGGGUAACCUGCCCAUCAGAAGGGGAUAACACUUGGAAACAGGUGCUAAUACCGUAUAACACUAUUUUCCGCAUGGAAGAAAGUUGAAAGGCGCUUUUGCGUCACUGAUGGAUGGACCCGCAGUGCAUUAGCUAGUUGGUGAGGUAACGGCUCACCAAGGCAACGAUGCAUGGCCGACCUGGGAGGGUGAUCGGCCACACUGGGACUGAGACACGGCCCAGACUCCUACGGGAGGCAGCAGUAGGGAAUCUUCGGCAAUGGACGAAAGUCUGACCGAGCAACGCCGCGUGAGUGAAGAAGGUUUUCGGAUCGUAAAACUCUGUUGUUAGAGAAGAACAAGGAUGAGAGUAAAACGUUCAUCCCUUGACGGUAUCUAACCAGAAAGCCACAGCUAACUACGUGCCAGCCGCCGCCGUAA